GACGAACGCUGGCGGCGUGCCUAAUACAUGCAAGUAGAACGCUGAAGAGAGGAGCUUGCUCUUCUUGGAUGAGUUGCGAACGGGUGAGUAACGCGUAGGUAACCUGCCUUGUAGCGGGGGAUAACUAUUGGAAACGAUAGCUAAUACCGCAUAACAAUAGGUGACACAUGUCAUUUAUUUGAAAGGGGCAAUUGCUCCACUACAAGAUGGACCUGCGUUGUAUUAGCUAGUAGGUGAGGUAACGGCUCACCUAGGCGACGAUACAUAGCCGACCUGAGAGGGUGAUCGGCCACACUGGGACUGAGACACGGCCCAGACUCCUACGGGAGGCAGCAGUAGGGAAUCUUCGGCAAUGGGGGCAACCCUGACCGAGCAACGCCGCGUGAGUGAAGAAGGGUUUCGGAUCGUAAAGCUCUGCUGUAAGUCAAGAACGAGUGUGAGAGUGGAAAGUUCACACUGUGACGGUAGCUUACCAGAAAGGGACGGCUAACUACGUG
rnacentral:rRNA from 1 species